AUAUUUAUAAAUUUAGCCAUAUUUCUAUAUAAAUUUACCUCCAACCAAAUGCAAAAUCUUUUUUAAGUGUCAUUUUUCGAAGUAAUUUUUCUACCAACCAAAUAAAAUACAAGUUAUUUUUCUCCAUAAUUAUUUUUUUAGAUAAAUAAUUUCUAGAAAUUGUUAGAUUACCUCAUAAUCUGAUAUACUCCAACCAAAUGGACCCUAAGAGAUUCUGAUGACCUAACCCCACCAU
rnacentral:lncRNA from 1 species